AUGGCUGGGAAGGACAGUGGGAACCUGAAGACGGUGAGGCUGUGGCGGGACGCCGCCCUGCGCGCCAGGAAGCUGCGGAGCAACCUGCGCCAGCUGACCCUGAGCGCGGCGGGGGGCUGCCCGGGGGUCGGGACCGAGCUGCUGGAGUCCCCCGAAGCCCCAGAGCUCGUGCUGCCGGCCAACAUCGGGGACAUUGAGGCUCUGAACCUGGGGAACAACGGCCUGGAGGAGGUGCCCGACGGGUUGGGCUCAGCGCUCGGCAGCCUUCGCGUCCUGGUUCUACGCAGGAACCGCUUCGCCUGGCUGCCCCCGGCUGUGGCCGAGCUGGGCCACCACCUCACCGAGCUGGACGUGAGCCACAACCGGCUGACCACCCUGGGCGCGGAGGUGGUGGGUGCCUUGAGAGAGCUGCGCAAACUCAACGUCAGCCACAACCAGCUGCCCGCCCUGCCCACCCAGCUGGGCACCCUCGCCCACCUGGAGGAGCUGGAUGUCAGCUUUAACCGGCUGGCGCACCUGCCUGACUCCAUGUCUUGUCUCUGCCGCCUGCGCACCCUCGACGUGGACCACAACCAGCUCACUGCUUUCCCCCGGCAGCUGCUGCAGCUGGCAACCCUAGAGGAACUGGAUGUGUCCAGCAACCGGCUGUGCGGCCUACCUGAGGAUAUUAGUGCCCUGCGUACCCUCAAGAUCCUCUGGCUCAGUGGGGCUGAGCUUGGCGUGUUGCCCAGUGGCUUCUGUGAACUGGCCAGCCUGGAAAGCCUCAUGCUGGACAACAACGGGCUACAGGCUCUGCCCGCCCAGUUCAGCCGCCUGCAGCGCCUCAAAAUGCUCAACCUCUCUUCCAACCUUUUUGAGGAGUUCCCCGCUGCGCUGCUGCCCCUGGCAGGUCUGGAGGAGCUCUACCUUAGUCGCAACCAGCUCACCUCAGUGCCAUCCCUUAUCUCGGGUCUAGGUCGGCUUCUCACCUUGUGGCUAGAUAAUAACCGGAUCCGCUACUUGCCUGACUCUAUUGUGGAGCUGACCAGCCUGGAGGAGUUAGUGCUGCAAGGCAACCAGAUUGCUGUGCUACCAGACAACUUUGGCCAGCUCUCCAGGGUGGGCCUGUGGAAAAUCAAGGACAAUCCACUGAUCCAGCCCCCCUACGAAGUCUGUAUGAAGGGGAUUCCCUACAUCGCAGCCUACCAGAAGGAACUGGCUCAUUCCCAGCCUGCAGUGCAUCCCCGCCUCAAGCUGCUCCUGAUGGGCCAUAAGGCUGCAGGGAAGACCUUACUCCGCCACUGCCUCACAGAGGAGAGAGUGGAGGGAAACCAGGGAGGAGGGGAUAAGGAGAAGAGCUACCCACCUUUCCUUCCUUCAGUUAGCAAGGGCAUCGAGGUAACUAGCUGGACUGCUGAUGCUUCCCGGGGCCUGAGGUUCAUUGUGUACGAUUUAGCGGGUGAUGAAAGUUAUGAGGUGAUCCAGCCCUUCUUCCUCUCCCCGGGGGCCCUUUAUGUACUGGUGGUGAACUUAGCCACCUAUGAGCCCAUUCGCUUUCCCACCACUGUGGGCUCCUUCUUGCAUCGCGUGGGAGCACGGGUGCCUCAUGCUGUGGUGUGCAUUGUAGGCACGCAUGCAGACUUGUGCGGGGAGCGGGAACUGGAGGAGAAGUGUCUGGACAUCCAUCGCCAGAUUGCCCUGCAAGAGAAGCACGAUGCCGAGGGGCUGAGCCGCCUGGCCCAGGUGGUAGACGAGGCGCUGGCCCGAGAUUUCGAGCUGCGCUCUGCCAGCCCCCACACUGCCUACUAUGGUGUCUCGGACAAGAACCUUCGGAGGCGCAAGGCCCAUUUUCAAUACCUGCUCAACCACCGACUGCAGAUCCUCUCUCCUGUGUUACCUGUUAGCUGUAGGGACCCCCACCAAUUACAACGCUUGCGGGACAAACUGCUCUCUGUAGCUGAGCACCGGGAAAUCUUCCCCAACUUACACAGAGUACUGCCUCGGUCCUGGCAGGUGCUGGAGGAAUUGCAUUUCCAGCCCCCCCAGGCACAACGACUUUGGCUAAGCUGGUGGGACUCAGCACGCCUGGGCCUGCAGGCGGGGCUGACCGAGGACAGGCUGCAGAGCGCUCUUUCCUACCUGCACGAGAGCGGUAAGCUGCUCUACUUCGAGGACAGUCCUGCCCUCAAGGAGCACGUAUUCCACAACCUCACCCGCCUCAUCGACAUCCUCAAUGUGUUUUUCCAGAGGGAUGCUUCCUUGCUGCUGCAUAAGCUGCUCCUUGGUGCCAGCGGAGAGAGCGAGGGUGAAGGGGAGAACUCUCCCUUGAUGGCGCUGCCUGCCCCAAGCCAGGACCACCUCCGAACCACCCAGCUCCAUCAUUACGUGGAGGGCUUUCUGCUUCAUGGACUCUUGCCAGCCCAUGUCAUUCGGCUGCUGCUUAAGCCUCAUGUCCAGGCCCAGCAGGACUUGCAGCUAUUGUUGGAGCUUUUGGAGAAGAUGGGACUUUGUUACUGCCUCAAUAAACCCAAGGGCAAGCCUUUGAAUGGGUCUACAGCCUGGUACAAGUUCCCGUGUUACGUGCAGAAUGAGGUGCCCCAUGCAGAGGCUUGGAUCAAUGGGACCAACCUGGCUGGGCAGUCUUUUGUGGCAGAGCAGUUGCAGAUUGAAUAUAGUUUUCCCUUCACUUUUCCACCUGGGCUGUUUGCGCGCUACAGUGUCCAGAUCAACAACCACGUGGUACACAGGUCGGAUGGUAAACUUCAGAUCUUUGCCUAUAGAGGGAAAGUUCCUGUGGUGGUGAGUUACAGACCUGCCAAGGGGGUCUUGCAGCCAGACACACUAUCCAUUGCUAGUCAUGCAUCAUUACCAAAUAUAUGGACAGCAUGGCAAGCCAUAACUCCCUUGGUAGAGGAACUGAAUGUGCUCCUUCAAGAAUGGCCUGGACUGCACUACACUGUGCAUAUUCUCUGUUCUAAGUGCCUUAAGAGAGGGUCGCCUAAUCCACAUGCUUUUCCAGGGGAGUUGCUGAGUCAGCCCAGACCAGAGGGAGUGGCAGAGAUCAUUUGCCCCAAGAACGGCAGUGAGCGAGUGAACGUUGCCUUGGUUUACCCACCUACGCCAACUGUGAUCAGCCCCUGUUCGAAGUAUCUCCAUACAUUCUUGGAAAAUUAAGUGGAAAGGAUAGUGCUUCUUUCCCUUAUGCCAUCAUUUUUACUGUACCCAAACUGUGACUUUAGGAGCACCAAUAUUUAAGGGAAGAACGUUGGUGAAAAGCACAGAAACCAGUGACUAAUGGCUGUGGAAUUUCCGUGGAGAAAAAGAGAACAUCAGGACUCAACUGGACCAUCCUUCAUAUCUGGUGCACCCUCCACACUUCCCAGAGUGUUCUGUGAACUUGCUUGAGUAGUUGUUCAAAGUGCUUUCAGAGGAGGGAUUAAACCUGGCUUGUUGACAAGGUGGGAGGGUUGGUGGGGGUGGGGUUGGUGGAUGAUGGGGUUGGUGGAUGAUGGGAGAGAAUAUGGAGCAAAUGUUUUACAACCUGAACCUCAGAACUGUGAUCCUCCAAGGAGAGAGCUACUUGAAGAAAAGAAAAAAAAAGUCGAAUGGCUUCUCAGGGAUUUUGUUUUUUGUGCACAUAUAAGCCAUAGUUACAGUACAGGUGGCAGUAUUUAGAGCACUCAGAUUUCAGUUUUGUUCAAUGUGAAAGAGGGAUUGACUGACCGUUCAUUGCUGUUCCAUAACUAGUGUAAAAUAUGUAUAUGUUUAUCUUUAUUUUUAUAAUAUGCAAAUACAUUUAAAUUUAUACAGUUUGAAGCUUCUAGCGUUAGUUAACACUGGGUGCAAUAUUCUGCAUGAGAACUGUGCCAAGAUGGGGCUGAUCCCUUAUUUUACCCUAAAACCUUUCUGGUUCUUUAUUUUAUCCUUCUCAAAUUUGAAACAAGACAGAUUUAAAAAAAAAGAAAGAAAGAAAGAGAGCAAUCUGACUACAUGCCCAUGGAUUAAGUGUUGGUUCAUGGAGGUUGCCAAUAAUUAGAAAGAACCUCAAAUGCACAUUUUAAGCAGUGUCUCCUCUCCUUCUAAAUCAAGUCUAGGAAUCUUUUUUUUUUUUUUCUGCCAGGAGCGAUUUGGAUAUUUAUGAGGUCAUUAGCAGGCUAUACACAGUUAUAAACUUAAAAUUAGCACAUGUUGCUAUGAUGAUAAAGUUUCAGUUGCUCUGACAGGGCCAGGCCAAAUAAUUUCAAGGGUUGUGUAUGACCUGUGGGCUAGAUGUUCUUUACCCUGUAAUCUAAGCAAAGGUCCCUGCUUAUUUAAAUGACUAGGCAGAGUGGUGGGACUCCUCCCCGCAAUGCAUACACACAUUGUUAAUGCCAGGCACAGUAUUCCUUGCUCCUCCAGGCUUGGAGUUGACUGUGAGUUGUUGCUGGUAGGAAGCAUGGGGUUUGGACUCUUCAAGAGAGGUGUGAACAACAGGAGUUGAGAAGUUCAUGGAAAACUUGUCUUUCAGUAAUUUUAGAUUAAUCAGAGUCAAUUCUGAAUCUCAAAGAGCUCUGCUAAUAAGUAUCCCCCCUCCCCCCUUUUUCCCCCUAGAACAGUCCAUGAAGUUUAGCAGAGCACUUUGAAAGCCUUCCACACAUCUGGCUGUCAGACCUUAAGAUAGUGAGCUGCCUGAUUGGAGAGCAUAACCCCACAUUGGUUAUUUAUAAACACAGCACCUCUGAUUAGACAUCUACUGCCAGGAAUUAGUCAGGGCCUUGUUUUAGAAUCCCUAUGAAGUAAAACUUAAAAAGCAAGCUAAAUUAAUUGGGCUCUAUUCUAUUCCUAAUUGGGGCCAAGCAGCAUCUGCUGUAAUAGUAACACAUUCUCUGAAGAAUGUAAAGGACUCUGUUUAUACCUGCCACCUCCACUAGUGUUGAUUGAAAAGGUGUAAAACUGUUUCUCACCAGUAUAAGACAAGAAAAGUGAGUCAGCUGGUAUUCAGCUUGUUUUAUUUUAUUUCUGUUAUUAAGUAUUGACUCUUAGAAUGCCACAGUAUAAAAGUCUCAACACAUUUUUAAAAUAAAUGAACCAAUGACUAUGUUGGGGAAAAAAAAAUCACAAAUCAAUUUUUGAAGAAACCUUAGUGCCCCAGGAGUCAGCUUCACUUAACUCCAAAACCUCCACUUAAACAGUGAUUGAUUCCUUUUGUUUGUAAAAUCACAUGGGGUCAGAUGAUCUUUGCACUAAUACUUGAAUAUCACACCUCAAGAUUUGAGAUUUCCUUUUUUUGUAGAACACAAUCACAAGAUGGAUAUGGUGGAUUCUUUUGUCACAGUUCUCGUGUGUGUGUGUGUGUGUGUGUGUGUGUGUGUGUGUGUGUGUGUGUGUACAUGUGUGCGCUACAGUAUGCAUGUGUGUAAGUAUAAACUGAAUGGUAACACUUAAUUACUUUAUGACCAUUGAAUUGUGGGGAAUAAAAAAAGUUGGUUUGUUUUGUGUUUUUUAAAUUGAUAUGAGACAGUUCCUAAACUGUCAUAUUAACUGACUUUGACCAAUCUCUUGAAAAAAGACUUUGGUGUGUAACUUUGGACUAACUCCCCAAGGUAACAUAUCAGAUGAAAAAUAGCCCCUUGGGUGGCAUACCCUGCAAAAUAUAUUUAUGAUUAUUAAUACAAAUGCCCACAUUCUUAAUUUCUGCUAUUUCUUUUGACAAAUGAUGUUUUGUGCUGUCAUCUAAACCCUAGAGAAGCAGUGUAAGAAGAAUUCGUGGUGUCACAUGUGUUUUAACAAAAACAAACAAAAAAAGUAUCAUAGUCUAGGGUCAUGUGACCAAAGAAGCUCCAAAAAAGCUUGAGAAUUUGCUUCAGGGUGGGGGGAGGGUUGGAACACUGUAAGUACUCUGCUCUAGAAGAAUUUUCACCCAUCUUUGCAGGAAAUCCAGUUUUUCUCUUUCAACACCUGGGAAGAUUUAGCCAGCUGAGGCUGACAGGCAAUUCACUAAGCACAAGGGGAGUCUUCCAAUCAAGUUGUCCCUUGCCACACUAACAAACACCCUCCAAGUUUGUUAUGGUUUCUAUUCCUGCAACUUGUGGUAUCAAAACCACUUCCUGGAAUUGUACAAGUGCUGCCAGAAUAAAUGUUUCCCCUUCUAUGAAAGAAAAAAAAAGUGCUCAUAUUUGAUACAUGUGUAUUGAAUUCUUUUGAAUAGAAUAAAAAGGAAAGGGUUUGGUGUAA